GUCUACGGCCAAACCACCCUGAAUGUGCUCCAUCUCAUCUGAUCUCGGAAGCUAAGCAGGAUCAGGCCUGGUUAGUACUUAGAUGGGAGACUGCUUGGAAAUACCGGGUGCUGUAGGCU
ensembl:rRNA n-R5s93 nuclear encoded rRNA 5S 93